rnacentral:lncRNA from 1 species
ACUGGAUCAACUGACCAGUUGCAUGUGAGCACUCCCACUAGCUCUUCAAUAGACUCAGUGCCCCAUUCCUCCCCAGUGGGACGCUGGCGCUUCUUUAUCAACCAGACCAUCCGCCAUAGAGACUCUCUAUCCGGUCAGGGAGCAGGCACGCCACCACCCACUUCAGAGAUGAGGAUACCUCAGUCUUCAGUGAGAGCUGUAGAAAGUGAAGGAUCCCAGAGUCUGGAGUCCUUGACUGGAAUGGCCCCUCCACCCUGCCCCACCCUUUCUGCCACCUCCCCUUCAAUCUCCACUGUUUCAGCCCCUGCCUCCAUCACCCCCUCAGCCACCGCUGCUCCGGCUCCUCACACAACUGCCUCUGAAAGCAUCUCUGCACCAGCCUCCACUCUUGAAGCCUCUGUCCCUGUCACUGCUUCAAGUGGUCUUGACCUGCCAGUCCUCACCUCAGCUUCUGUUGGCCAAAUGUCCAGUGUUCCCUCAUCCAUAGCAAUACCUGCUGCUGCUAACCUCCCCACCUUGUCUACUGCUCCUAUUGUUGUGUCUUCCACACCCACCACCAUUCUCCAUGAUGUUCUCACUUCUCCUGGAAGCAGUGAUUGCUACAAUGUUGGUCAAAGUAUAGGGGAUACAGUGACAACUGCUCCAAGGUUAUAUGUGCCUGCAGUGGACCAGUCUUCAACCUCUUUUCAUUCCCCUCCUGCUGCUGCAGUGACCUCUUCUGUGGUAAGCCAACUUGACAUGGAGCAGCAGCAGACACUCACUCAGGUGGCCAAGCCAGCCCCACAACAGCCACAGCUACAGGCAAUACAGCUUGAACAACA